rnacentral:lncRNA from 1 species
AGAAUUUGUUUUUUUUUCAUUUUUUUGUUAAGAUAAAUCUUUUGGGAUAUUUAACCAAUUGACUAUCUGUACCUCACCCUCUGACCCAAUUUUGAACAAUCUUAUCUUCUCCUUUCUUAAAAUAUCGUUGUUUAUGAGACAUCAGCUUUCUUUCCAUUGUAGCUUCCUUUCCAUUGCAGUCUGGGAUUAAUAAUUCAUUGUAAAAGCAAACAAGUAUGUUUUCCCAACUUGUUGUUUUCACCUCUUUUGUAUUGGGUUUGUUUUUAUGUUGAUUUUGUUUAGUGCUAGGUUUUGUAGCUUCGUCCCUCCAUUUAUCUCUAGUUUUUUGCUCUCUGUUGUUGACGUCUUAAUUGUUUUCCAGGAGCCCGUCGUUGUUGUUGCUUGUGGUGAAUGAUGUUACUUCUGUGUGGAAACUGGGUUGCUAAUAACUUUGUAAACUAGGUCAGCAAAAACCUCAAGACGGUUCAACUUCAUAACGUAUUUUGUCGGAUUGAGAUCUUCCCCAUGUAAGUCGACCUCAAUACAGUAUAGACAACGAUUUUCCCAUAAUUGUACACCACCAAUUUGGACUCCUUUCCAACCAUAUUUGUAUUUGGUUAAUGUUUCCAUGAUUUCAAUUCUUUACAGCUACCUGGCAGAUUGUUAAAUUUGCAUUCGUGCUGUUGUUG